rnacentral:lncRNA from 1 species
ACAAUUUUUCAUCUUUAAUGAACAAAAGCCACAAGCCUUAUUUUAUUUCAGCCUCUAAAAUUAAAUUGAUUGUGGCUGCUGUCAAACACAGACGACUUCACUUUGGUAUCCUUGGAUGAGUGUAGUUGUGGAAUGAAAAACUAUUGGUUCAUUUCUUUAAUAUUAAUAUAAGUUUUUGCUAUUAUGUCAAAAGUACUUUCCAAUCUUAAUUUCUUAGUGUCUGGGGUCCUGGGCAUUGAUUUCCAAGUUAUUUUAUCUUAGAAUAGCUCAUAUGAGCUGAAAAACAAUUUAUUCUCUUAUUAAGCUUCUUUCUUCAGAAAAGUACCCAAUUUAGGGUCUGCAUUUUAAGAAUUAUUAACAAAUAUCUUCAUAAAAAUUUGGGAAAAGGAGUGUGGAUAGAUUUAAACAUAAAAAUAUGGAGAAUAGUUCUAACAGGGUUUGAAUUAUAGCAACAAUGGAUUGUGUAAGAAGUGAAUCUUAUUUUUAUUUUUAAAUGUUCUAAAUAGGACAAUCAGAGAUGACUUGGUUGUAGUGUGGAAACCAGUAGGGACCUUGGGAAGCUGCCAAACCCUUUCUAGCUCUGGGCUCAGCUGUAAGAACUGCUGAUUCCUACAGGAACACUUGGACAAUCCAAUACCUAAAUGUUAACCAUCAAUUAACCCAGUAAACCUGCAAGAUGGAAACGAAGAUUUGUUCUCACGAGUUUCACGUGAUUAUUUAAACACUUCUGGGGCCCAGUAGCCAACUGGGGUCUUCCCAUUGCUGCCAUCAAUGAUAUGAAAAAGUCUCCAGAGAUUAUCAGUGGGCGGAUGACAUUUGGUACAGCCUCGGAACUGGCUUCUGUUUGCAUGCCACGCAACAAAUGAAGUAGCCCAGCUCAUCCAGGGAGGGCGGCUUAUCAAACACGAGAUGACUAAAACGGCAUCUGCAUAACAAUGGAAAAGGAAGAACAAGGUCUUGAAGGGACAGCAUUGCCAGCUGCUGCUGAGUCACAGAUUUCAUUAUAAAUAGCCUCCCUAAGGAAAAUACACUGAAUGCUAUUUUUACUAACCAUUCUAUUUUUAUAGAAAUAGCUGAGAGUUUCUAAACCAACUCUCUGCUGCCUUACAAGUAUUAAAUAUUUUACUUCUUUCCAUAAAGAGUAGCUCAAAAUAUGCAAUUAAUUUAAUAAUUUCUGAUGAUGGUUUUAUCUGCAGUAAUAUGUAUAUCAUCUAUUAGAAUUUACUUAAUGAAAAACUGAAGAGAACAAAAUUUGUAACCACUAGCACUUAAGUACUCCUGAUUCUUAACAUUGUCUUUAAUGACCACAAGACAACCAACAGCUGGCCACGUACUUAAAAUUUUGUCCCCACUGUUUAAAAAUGUUACCUGUGUAUUUCCAUGCAGUGUAUAUAUUGAGAUGCUGUAACUUAAUGGCAAUAAAUGAUUUAAAUAUUUGUUAAA